rnacentral:lncRNA from 1 species
GUGCACCUAUAAAUGAUGGAGCAUUGUAGACUUACACGUCGGUCCAUAGCAGUAACUUUAAGAGGGCAUUGUGCAAUAGUUAGUUGUUUCCUCAUUGGCUACUUUAAGAGCUGCUUUAACCUGUCUGUCUGUCUUUGUAUAUAACUACUUCUAAUAUAAUCACUAGAGUUAUUAUAUUCUGUUAUGUCUGACCGGAAUUAUGUGACGAGAGCUCAUGGCAGUUGUGAGCUGUCUCCUUACAUGUUGGCCCAUGGUAUUUGAAAGACUUGCCUUUGGCUGUUCUUCGGGGUGUCAGUGACGUGAAUGAAGGUCAAUACAGCAUUUCAGUGCCCACAAUACUAGAGUGGCAGUGGAUAAGAAUCUGACUGAUAAAGCCCACACAAGGGAACCAUUUGCAUUUGUCCUUCUGUUUUUGGGGCUUGAUCUGGCCGCAUGUGGAGAAGGAGUGGUAACUGGCUGUGAGCAUGGGGUGAUGGAGGGCCAACUAGCCUACUAGAUUCUCUCCCUGGAUCUGUCACUAAUUUGCUUUGUGACCUCUCUGUGCCUGUUUUCUCGUGCAUGAGAAAUCAAAUCAAAUGGGGAUUCGAUACCUGUAAGUGCUACAAGGCCUUGGACCCACCGGUGCUGUGUGAGUGCGGAGAACCACUCUCAUGUAUUCACUUAGAGUCAUGAGGUAAUCAGUUCUAACCCAAAGUCAUUGGAUUCCCCAACCAAGUCCACAGUGUUCAAGUACCUCAGGGACACUUAAAGAGUUGGAGGUGCAACUGUAUUCCAAAAGGGUGCAGCAGACACAGCCGAGCCCCUCUUCCUGGUGUUCUGUAUAUUUUUGCUCCUUGGUUUUUCUUGAUCAUAGCUGUUUUGUGCUUGGUCUGUGUUGUCUAUGAUGCAGUAAGUACCCUGUACUAGCUUAUAAUAUUCCCAUACCAAAGUCAUGGGGAAACCAACAUUAUUGUGUUUUGGGUUUAUUUAUACUAUAUUCUGCAUACAGUACUUUAAAUGCCAAUUACAGUGCAAUCUUUAUUUAUUGUAAAUUUUUUAAAUGUACUUAUGUACUAAUUUGCCCUCCUAGCAUGUUAUAUUUUGUGUGUUUUAUACUUUUGUAAUUUUAGGUCAGUUUAGUUCCUUGGCAACAUCUGUAGCUAGUAUUAGCUUUCUGACAUUUUCUUGUGUUUUUAAAGAUAAGACCAUCUAACUCAUUAAAUGCCAAAAAAAAAAAAAUCCAUUAUCAGUGAUUGAAAGGUUUACAUGUACCAAGAAACCAUAUUCAUCUCCUAGAAGAGUGCUAAGAUCAAUGCAUUGUUUCGUGCCUAUAUUGAUAUAGCUAUGUACUAGAGUUCUGUAUUUUGUUAUUGACUAUGAUAAUUAGUGUGAUUAGACUUGUACACUGAUGGUAUCAAGGUAAAUAUAUUUUUGCCAAAGCUCUGGCCUUCGGAAGCUCUUCCUUUCAUCCAAGUGUGUCGUUCAACCCACUGUGACGUCAUAUCCACAUUCCCUGAGACGGUCGCAAGUGGGUGAAGGCAAAUUCAGUGGAAUAAUUUUUAAAGCUAUUCACAGGGAGAGUCUUUUUUUAAACAAAAACACUUCAGCACUACUGCUGUAAAGAAUUCCCUGAAUUGAUUGAAUUGUUGUAAAGGAAAUUAUACUUCAGGCCAAAAUCUCUUUAAUCUUCCAGAGAUUUCAAAGCUCUGUUACCAGCAGGAAGCGGAAGCGUGUGACACACGAGCAGACAGCACUUUAUUCUAUUGCUCUCCAUUAUUUGGUAUUCACUAUAGUCUCUUCGGUCGGGAAGUCACUCCUCUACGUGGCACUCUCCUCUAUCACAGAUCUGUAUAUGUGCUAUGGAUAUAUAACUAUAUAUAUAUUGCCAUUACAAAGGAACAAUACAAUAAAGUGUUCUAUUGACCUUCUCUGUGCCCUUUGCCGUACGUAGGAAUGAGUGAAUGGCUUUCUAUUGGCCUUCUCUGUGCCCUUUGCCGUACGUAGGAAUGAGUGAAUGGCUUUCUGAUGCCCUGAUGCUUCUCUGUACAUCAACUGCAUCCCUGACACAAGAAAUUCCAGUCACCUGAAGCAAACUGCCCUCUGUCCUCAAAGAAAAUGUUCACAAAGAAAACUUUUUUAAAAGGCUAUUUUGCAUAUUAUCUGCCUUGUUCUUAUCACACUUGAGAUGUUGGCAUUUUCUGACCCUGUCUCUUUGGCUACAGUCAUUCAGUAUUUGUGUCAAAUUUGACAAGUGCCCUAAUAGAAUGUGUUUGAAUGUUAUCCUUGCACAAUUCUUUAAAUUGAAAGACAAAAUGUUUUACCUCACUGUUGGACAUACAUUCCAAGCUUUUCAACUUUAGGAGAAAAAAAAAUAAUCAUAUGUUUCCUGUCUUGUAAAUUUUAGAUUAUUUCAUAUACAUUGUAUUAAAACUGCCAUAUCAAUUUUAAUGUAUAGAUUUUGCAAAUACUAUGCUAUAUGUAAUACCUAACUGUAUCUGUAGUGUAUAUGUAAUAUAUUUAUGCCCAAUAAAUGUUUUAAUUCUUUCUGACGUAAG